AAAUUGCAACUCUGCUUCUCUGAUGAUGACCACAAAUACAUUGGCUGUUUGACACAAUCAGAACUAUUCAUGGAGACUAGAGCAUGCUCAACACCAACAAACAACCAAACUGAGAAACCAGUGUCCUGAAAUAAAAUAGAAGGAAAACCAUUUCAGAAGAAAAUAGGAUCAAUGAACUCAAAGUCCACUUUCAAGAUAUACAUACAACUGUUUC